UACGGAGGGUGCAAGCAUUAAUCGGAUUUAUUGGGCGUAAAGGGCGCGUAGGCGGGAAGGAAAGUUGGAUGUGAAAUCCCGAGGCUCAACCUCGGACCCGCAUCCAAAACUUCUUUUCUGGAGGAUGAGCGGAGAAAAUGGAAUUCCACAUGUAGCGGUGAAAUGCGUAGAUAUGUGGAGGAACACCGGUGGCGAAAGCGAUUUUCUAGCUUAGACCUGACGCUGAGGCGCGAAAGCAAGGGUAGCAAACGGG
rnacentral:rRNA from 1 species